AUGGUGCGGGGGAAGACGGAGAUGAAGCGGAUAGAGAACGCGACGAGCCGGCAGGUGACCUUCUCCAAGCGCAGGAACGGGCUACUCAAGAAGGCCUUCGAGCUCUCAGUGCUCUGCGACGCCGAGGUUGCGCUCGUCGUCUUCUCCCCUCGCGGCAGGCUCUACGAGUUCGCCAGCGCCACCAGCAUGCAGAAAUCGAUUGACCGUUAUAAGGCUUAUACAAAGGAUACUGUUAACAACAAGACACAAGUCAAAGCUGAUGCUCUAAGCUUGGCAAAGAAACUUGAAGCUCUUGAAGAUACGAAGCGAAAGAUCUUGGGCGAAAAUUUAGGAGGAUGCUCUACUGAAGAACUGCAUUUUCUGGAAGGAAAAAUUGAGAAGAGUCUCCGCGUCAUCAGAGGAAAGAAGACCCAGCUGCUCGAACAGCAGAUAGCUAAACUGAAAGAGAAGGAGAGGACGCUUCUCAAAGACAACGAAGACUUGCGCGGAAAGCAGCGCAACCUUGAGGCGCCGCUGUUGCUUUCUGCCCCGAACUGCGUCGCACCUCUGCAGCCAGAGCAGGAGCCGGUACCGAGGGACGAGGACGUGGAGACGGAGCUCUACAUUGGGUUGCCCGGGGUUCGCUGCUCCAGCCGGCGGUCAGGUCAAGCCAAAUAG
rnacentral:rRNA from 1 species